UACGAAGGGGGCUAGCGUUGUUCGGAUUUACUGGGCGUAAAGCGCACGUAGGCGGAUUGUUAAGUCAGGGGUGAAAUCCUGGAGCUCAACUCCAGAACUGCCUUUGAUACUGGCGGCCUUGAGUCCGGGAGAGGUGAGUGGAACUGCGAGUGUAGAGGUGAAAUUCGUAGAUAUUCGCAAGAACACCAGUGGCGAAGGCAGCUCACUGGCCCGGUACUGACGCUGAGGUGCGAAAGCGUGGGGAGCAAACAGG
rnacentral:rRNA from 1 species